rnacentral:lncRNA from 1 species
AUGCUGAGGGGUGAGGGUGACAGCACUACACUGGCAAACAAAGCCACCUGGGCCUCAAUCCUUCAGGAAGCUCUGAGUGCAACCGAUCUGGGAAAACAAACAGGAACAGCUGCUGGGGAAGAGAGGGUACCAGACUUGGUACCACUCGCAGUCAAACCUAGCUGUGGUUGUCUCAUCUCCGACUCACGUCCUUCUAACUUGGACUCAACCCCAUGCCCAGUUCUAGGGCACCCAUCUGCUCCAGUGUGAGUCCCAACAGCAAUUUCUCCCCAGUGAAGAGAGGCCCAAGCACCUUGGUACUGGGGAAGUGGAGGCAGGAACCUAGGACCUUCAUCUCAGCCGGGCCACUUCUCAGCUGUGACACCUUGACGACAUCCUGGACCCCUUCUGGCCCUCACUUCUUCCUCUGGCCCAUGCAGGACAGUGACAGGGCCCACGUUAUGGAGCUGAGUUAGGAUUUAGCUGAGACAGUGCACUAGAAAGCCUGAACCGAGAGCCUGGCUAGAACUGAGCACUCAGGAACAGACAUAGCUCUCCAGCAGACGUCAGGACAGGGAACUCCAAACCUUGGAGCUUCCUGGGGGACCCGGCUCCGACUCGGGUCAGGGAGGAGAUCUCCCCAAGAGGCCUCGACCUCAGGCUGAAGAAGAGAUGGCAUUUAGACCUCGGGAGGAACUUCCGCGACAUCCGGCAGGGCGCGGUCUUACUCCAGGCGCCGGGGAGCCCUGGUUCCUCUGGGCCCGGCGGUCUGGGCCAGGGAAGGCGCGUUCUGCCCCGAGGCUGGCUGCGUCCAGCCCGGCUCAGGCCCCAAAGAAAAGAAGCGCGGAGUCAGCCCGGGCCUCUCCCGCUCGCGACGUGCGUCUCAGCACUUUCCGCUGGGAUCCCCGCGGGCUGGGGCCAGGUCGGCGGCUUCGGGAAAGGGCUCGGCUCCCGGGAGAGACCAUGGGGACUGCAGCCCUCCGCUGGCUCAGCUCCCCCCAUCCCGGAGGGAGAGGGAGCGGGGUAUAAAGCCUCUCCAUUCUCCUCGCGUGCGCGCUCGCCCACCCGGUCAAUACCCAAUACCCGGGGCCGGGGCGGAGAGGGCGAGGUGCUGGCGAGCCUCGCGCAGCGGGUGUCCAGAGCCAGGGCGGGCCCAGCCCCCGGGUUCCUCACACCCCACCCGGGUUGGGCAGGUUUAGCAAAGCGGCUCUCGGUAGCUGAGCGCGCAGUUCGCCCUUCCUGUUCUUAG